AUUGAACGCUGGCGGCAUGCUUUACACGUGCAAGUCGAACGGUAACAGGCCUUCGGGUGCUGACGAGUGGCGAACGGGUGAGUAAUGCAUCGGAACGUACCCAGAGGUGGGGGAUAACGCAGCGAAAGCUGUGCUAAUACCGCAUGUGAUCUGAGGAUGAAAGCGGGGGACCGAGCAGCAAUGUUUGGCCUCGCGCCUUUGGAGCGGCCGAUGUCGGAUUAGCUAGUUGGUGGGGUAAAGGCCUACCAAGGCGACGAUCCGUAGCUGGUCUGAGAGGACGACCAGCCACACUGGGACUGAGACACGGCCCAGACUCCUACGGGAGGCAGCAGUGGGGAAUUUUGGACAAUGGGCGCAAGCCUGAUCCAGCAAUGCCGCGUGCGGGAAGAAGGCCUUCGGGUUGUAAACCGCUUUUGGCAGGAACGAAACGGUGUCCGCUAAUACCGGGCGCUAAUGACGGUACCUGCAGAAUAAGCACCGGCUAACUACGUG
rnacentral:rRNA from 1 species